UUGAUUGACAUUUCAUCAAAAUAGUUUAUAUAUAUCUAGUAAUCGUUGAUACAAUUCAGCGCAUGGACAGGACCGCGGGGCAGUACCGCGCAGCUCCACCAUAACUACACUUGAGCGGUUGGCCUAGUGCAAGUAAGGACUCGAAAGAGAAUAGACUUGAGUGUAGUUAUGAUGGGGCUGAACAAGGAUCGACUGACGUGAAGAGAUGAGAGUAGAUUACCGUGUUGGCCUACGUUAUUAAGCCAAAAUUUUUAAUUGCAAAUGACAAUUAUAAACCAUCUGGAUUUGCCCUAGCGGCGUAAUCAAAGGGGGUUGGCCACUUACCUAGCAACAGAAAAUGUGGCACA
rnacentral:tmRNA from 1 species